GAUGAACGCUGGCGGCGUGCCUAAUACAUGCAAGUCGAGCGAACGGACGAGAAGCUUGCUUCUCUGAUGUUAGCGGCGGACGGGUGAGUAACACGUGGAUAACCUACCUAUAAGACUGGGAUAACUUCGGGAAACCGUAGCUAAUACCGGAUAAUAUUUUGAACCGCAUGGUUCAAAAGUGAAAGACGGUCUUGCUGUCACUUAUAGAUGGAUCCGCGCUGCAUUAGCUAGUUGGUAAGGUAACGGCUUACCAAGGCAACGAUGCAUAGCCGACCUGAGAGGGGGGUCGGCCACACUGGAACUGAGACACGGUCCAGACUCCUACGGGAGGCAGCAGUAGGGAAUCUUCCGCAAUGGGCGAAAGCCUGACGGAGCAACGCCGCGUGAGUGAUGAAGGUCUUCGGAUCGUAAAACUCUGUUAUUAGGGAAGAACAUAUGUGUAAGUAACUGUGCACAUCUUGACGGUACCUAAUCAGAAAGCCACGGCUAACUACGUG
rnacentral:rRNA from 1 species